rnacentral:rRNA from 1 species
AGAGUUUGAUCCUGGCUCAGGACGAACGCUGGCGGUGCGCCUUAUGCAUGCAAGUCGAGCGAAGCUUUUCAGUAGUUUACUACAGAAAAUGACUGAGCGGCGAACGGGUGAGUAACGCGUGAGCAAUCUACCUUAGUUACAGGGAUAGCCCGAGGAAACUCGGAUUAAUACCUGAUAUUCUUUAUAUUUCGCAUGAAAUUAAAAGGAAAGGUCAGCCGAACUAAGAUGAGCUCGCGUUCUAUCAGCUAGUUGGUGAGGUAAAAGCUCACCAAGGCUACGACGGAUAGCUGGUCUGAGAGGACGAUCAGCCACACUGGGACUGAGACACGGCCCAGACUCCUACGGGAGGCUGCAGCAGGGGAAUAUUGCGCAAUGAGCGAAAGCUUGACGCAGCGACACCGCGUGUGGGAUGACGGAUCUAGGUUUGUAAACCACUUUCAGGAGGGAAGAAAAUGACGGUACCUCCACAAGAAGCCCCGGCCAACUACGUGCCAGCAGCCGCGGUAAUACGUAGGGGGCGAGCGUUGUCCCGGAUUUAUUGGGCGUAAAGAGCUCGUAGGCGGUUCAACAAGUCGGUCGUGAAAGUUCAGGGCUCAACCCUGAAAUG